ACGGCAUGAUGGGGUCAUUUUCGGAUGAGGUCCUUUAAUCUCUCCCAUGAGUCAUGGAACUGCUCACCAUGUUGCUGAGAGAAGCUAGUGAGAGCUCACCUU
rnacentral:snoRNA from 1 species